rnacentral:rRNA from 1 species
UACGUAGGGACCAAGCGUUGUUCGGAUUUACUGGGCGUAAAGGGCGCGUAGGCGGCGUGACAAGUCACUUGUGAAAUCUCUGGGCUUAACCCAGAACGGCCAAGUGAAACUGUCGUGCUAGAGUGCGGAAGGGGCAAUCGGAAUUCUCGGUGUAGCGGUGAAAUGCGUAGAUAUCAAGAGGAACACCUGAGGUGAAGACGGGUUGCUGGGCCAACACUGACGCUGAUGCGCGAAAGCCAGGGGAGCAAACGGG